rnacentral:lncRNA from 1 species
GAGCCACAAGAGCAAUAUUCUGCACCGACUGAAACAAAUCUAACAACAACAGCAACAUCCUCCAGAAUGAAAGCCAGCAACAGAGAGAAUCUUAGGGACCUUAAACCAUAUUGAGCAGAAGACCAUCAACUGACUGAAACCCAGAUGCUGCAGGCAAGUUAGCUGUGCUGAAAUCUUCUCUCGAGUCUCCUUUGCAUAUGGAACCCUACGCAACUGAUCAAUAUUCCUUCCCAGAGAAGGUACGUCUCAGUUAUCGGUGACACAUUCCCCUGAGUGCUUGUGUCAAACUCUCUCACAUCAAGAAAGGGGAAGGUAACCUGCAGAAAGGUCAGAUUGCCUGUGCUAGAUCUCAGCAUAGAC